UGGGGAAUUUUGGACAAUGGGCGAAAGCCUGAUCCAGCAAUGCCGCGUGAGUGAAGAAGACCUUCGGGUUGUAAAGCUCUUUUGUCAGGGAAGAAACGGUGAGGGCUAAUAUCCCUUGCUAAUGACGGUACCUGAAGAAUAAGCACCGGCUAACUACGUGCCAGCAGCCGCGGUAAUACGUAGGGUGCAAGCGUUAAUCGGAAUUACUGGGCGUAAAGCGUGCGCAGGCGGUUUUGUAAGUCUGAUGUGAAAUCCCCGGGCUCAACCUGGGAAUUGCAUUGGAGACUGCAAGGCUAGAAUCUGGCAGAGGGGGGUAGAAUUCCACGUGUAGCAGUGAAAUGCGUAGAUAUGUGGAGGAACACCGAUGGCGAAGGCAGCCCCCUGGGUCAAGAUUGACGCUCAGGCACGAAAGCGUGGGGAGCAAACA
rnacentral:rRNA from 1 species